rnacentral:rRNA from 1 species
UACAGAGGUCUCGAGCGUUAGGCGGAAUCACUGGGCUUAAAGCGUGUGUAGGCGGAUCGUUAAGUGCCUUGUGAAAUCCCACGGCUCAACCGUGGAACUGCUUGGCAUACUGGCGGUCUUGAGCAACCUAGGGGCGAGCGGAACAAAUGGUGGAGCGGUGAAAUGCGUUGAUAUCUACAGGAACUCCGGUGGCGAAAGCGGCGUGCUGGACCUUUUCUGACGCUGAGGCGCGAAAGCUAGGGGAGCAAACGGG